rnacentral:lncRNA from 1 species
CUGCACUUAAAGUGAGUUUUAACCCUAGCAAAAAUGCAAGUGCGUUUAUAUUUGAUCUAUUUUCUCAUUGCACGUCUUACCACUGAAGGUGCAGCUCCACAUGUGAACCAGUCUCUGACCUACUUCCCCUUUGCUUUGGUGGCUACUUUUAUAUUCCACAUUGUGUUUGCCGUACGGUUUCUUUUCAAGAAGCGCAAAGAUCCUGCCAGAGUGCAAUACAGCACUGCCAAUCAGGAAGAAACAGUAAGUCUGUAGAAGAAGAAAAGCAGCGCCCAUAAAGAGACCACCUACUAACCUACUAUGCGCUUUAUAAUAGCAAAUGUACUGUAGAUCAUGAAAAGUCAAUGUAAACCCAUUUUAUUUCCACUUUGAACAAAUUCUGUCACUUAUUUUGAUAUCAG